rnacentral:lncRNA from 1 species
UUAAACGUAUGAAAGAAUAAGCUAACUAAAAUAAAUAUUAGAAAUGAAUACUAUAAGGAAAACUAUAAAAUUUUUAGGCAUCUACUCGCCGUCUUCCUGCGGAACGGGCUCGGGAACCAAGUCUUGCUGAUCUGAAAUGGUUAAGUAAAGAAUGAGUUACACUAGCUCAGUAAAGAUGUCACAUUAUCUCACUGUCACAGAAGUAAAGGUUGGUAGAAAACAAAAAUGACCAAUAGAGCA